rnacentral:rRNA from 1 species
GAUGAACGCUGACAGAAUGCUUAACACAUGCAAGUCUACUUGAAUUUGGGUUUUUUAACUUAGAUUUGGGUGGCGGACGGGUGAGUAACGCGUAAAGAACUUGCCUCACAGCUAGGGACAACAUUUGGAAACGAAUGCUAAUACCUGAUAUUAUGAUUAUAAGGCAUCUUAGAAUUAUGAAAGCUAUAUGCGCUGUGAGAGAGCUUUGCGUCCCAUUAGCUAGUUGGAGAGGUAACGGCUCACCAAGGCGAUGAUGGGUAGCCGGCCUGAGAGGGUGAACGGCCACAAGGGGACUGAGACACGGCCCUUACACCUACGGGAGGCAGCAGUGGGGAUUAUUGGACAAUGGACCAAGAGUCUGAUCCAGCACUUCUGUGUGCACGAUGACGUUUUUCGGAAUGUAAAGUGCUUUCAGUUGGGAAGAAAAAAAUGACGGUACCAACAGAAGAAGUGACGGCUAAAUACGUG